CAGUCGCCACGGUAAUACGUAGGUGGCAAGCGUUGUCCGGAAUUAUUGGGCGUAAAGGGCUCGCAGGCGGUUUCUUAAGUCUGAUGUGAAAGCCCCCGGCUCAACCGGGGAGGGUCAUUGGAAACUGGGAAACUUGAGUGCAGAAGAGGAGAGUGGAAUUCCACGUGUAGCGGUGAAAUGCGUAGAGAUGUGGAGGAACACCAGUGGCGAAGGCGGCUCACUGGACAAUAACUGACGCUGAUGCACGAAAGCUAGGGGAGCAAACAGGAUUAGAGACCCGAGUAGUCCCUGUCUCUUAUAA
rnacentral:rRNA from 1 species